GAAGACCGCCGAGUCCAUCUCGUCCUGCUUCUUAUCCUCGAGAAACUCCUUGCAAAGCCAGGCCGGCGGCAAAAUUCGACACUGCUGUCUCUGCUUUAGGUUGAGGGCCAUCCAAAGGGGAACGUUGAGCGGAGUGCCCGCUGCGAAUGGACCGACGUCGCCGGUGAUUAGGUAGAGCUUCUCCGCACUGAAUGUGGGAAUAACGCUAACCAGCGUUUUCUCCGCGAGGAACUCGGCGUCGGCACACUCCAUGGCUCAGCUCAGUAGGCUCGAGAACACCUAUGGAGAACACGGUGGUUAAACUAGCCGCGCAAACUCGGAACUCAAAUCGAAGCAACAGAGCGGACACUCGGCGAAAAUUGGAAACAGGAAACACGUCACGCUAUAGUAUUAACACCGACGAAUUGGGGCUGCGAGCAUCGAAAAAAAGAGGAAUGUGAAAUGAGAUUAACAGAAGUUGUGUUAUUUUUUUUAUUCUUUCCCAAAGAAAUUAAAAAUAUAUCCGUAUAAAUUAAAUUAAACUUUGCUGCUUACUUCCGUUGCCUAGCGACAGGCGAACCGGCGAAUGACGAGCCAGAUGUUUGCGUCAUUCGUCAGACACACCGCCGAAGCGAGAGAGACCAGCCGCGCAUCUGAGCGCUGGCCUGUUCGGGCACCCGUCUGCCUGUUUUUCUAUUUCGGGAUUUAGCCUGGUUUGGUGGCCUCCCGGCGAAUUAUUGCGUUCAUUCGGAACUUCGACAUGGCUGCACUGCACUAUUGGACUACGGCAAGCUCACGUCGUCUGGUGGAGCUUCCUGCGGAAACUGCUGCUUACCUGAUGCCACAACGUUGGAUGAAUGCACAAAAGCCCGAGACGAGCAUUUACAAAGAAUAAAAUAAAGUUAAUUUUUCCUCAUUUCACAA